rnacentral:rRNA from 1 species
UACGUAGGGGGCAAGCGUUGUCCGGAAUCAUUGGGCGUAAAGCGCGCGUAGGCGGCCCGGUAAGUCCGUUGUGAAAGUCAAAGGCUCAACCUUUGAAUGCCGAUGGAUACUGCCAGGCUAGAGUCCGGAAGAGGCGAGUGGAACUCCUGGUGUAGCGGUGGAAUGCGCAGAUAUCAGGAGGACCACCGAUAGCGAAGGCAGCUCGCUGGGACGGUACUGACGCUGAGGCGCGAAAGCGUGGGGAGCGAACAGG